rnacentral:sRNA from 1 species
UUAAAUUUCAUUGGUGUUGUGUUGUGUGAAUAGAUUGCCAUGUGUGAUGUGUUAGCCGUAAAAGUUGAUAUUUAGAGAGAACCCUGAUUUCGAAAGUGUUUAACAUCUCCAUUUUCGUUAGAAAGAGUUGUGGAAGCAGUGUUGAAGUGACGAAAUGUCUGGUUGUUCUCCGUCUUGCAAAUGCACGGGUUGGGGUUUUCAAAAUAGCUCUAGUAGUGGGAGUGGGUUGGGUGUAAAACCCAGUUGCUUUUGCGGGCGGCCUAAGUCUUCCGUGUUGCCAGAACCCCUAAAAACAAGGGCAAAAGAUUUUGGGGUUGCCCUAACUUCAAGGUGAGUUUAAUCACUACAAAAAUCUGUAUUUUUACCGGGGUUUUUUUUAAAUAUUACUGACAGUUUUAACCCCUGCAAAUCAUAUUUCCCACGGUUGGAAAAAUCGAUUGGAAAACAUCCAUCGCCAAGCAAGUACCGACGAUUCUGAAAAAAUUGCCAGCAUUAGCGAGGGUUCCCAGAAACCGCCGGAAUUUCCAAGGAUUUUGUAGAAACUACAGGAAUUAGUUGGAGCUUUAUAAAAACCACCGAGAAUAGCGGGACUACUCAAAAACCGCUGGAACUAGCUGAGAUUAUCUCAAAACCGCCCCUAUUUUUGAUGGUUUAGUUUACCGGGGUUUUAAAACCGCCGGGAAUUUGUAUAGUUCAUUUUUUUUAUUGUAAUAAAAUUAGAUUAUAAUAAAAAUGAUUUUAUUGACAAAACAAACAAUAAAUUAAUAUGAACUAAAAUUUAAUAAUAUUGUAUAAAAUAAACUACAUUGUUCAACCUAAUAUCAUUUAUAUAACUAAUUGUUCAUACAUAAAAAUUAAAAAGAAAGAGGUUCAUUAUGUUCAAUAUAGAUGUUCAAUACUAAAAAUAUGACUCAUAAAAGUAUUCAAUAACAAUAUCUAAUUUUUUCUUAUCCAUUGUUUGGCUCACUCCCUUGAUCAGAUACCCGGGGUAAUAUGCAUCCCUGGCAAGUUAGCUGCUUCAGACAAAGCAGACCUCCAAGCCUGCACUCUCUGCGACUCUUUUCCAAACUCUUUUUCGUGUGCCGUCAUGUGUUUUCCGAAACUACUUCUCAAUUCCUGUAUAUCUGAGGGAUCUACAUAGUAGAACACUGGAAGAAAAAAAAAUUUGCUCAGUACUGUUCAUGUGGGUGCGUUGGAUAAUCUUAUCAAGUUCAUCGAGACACCAUGUGGAAGAUGCAUAGUUCUCAGAAAACACAACUAUGAAAACAUUAGAUUCUGCAAUGGCCUCACGCAGAGCAAGUGAAAGACCUGUCCCUAUCCUCAUAUCCCUGUCAUCAUGGAAACUGAGUAUUCCCCUCCUACCCAACCCUUCACGGAGCUGCCGUAGAACGGUGUGCCUAAUAUCUUCCCCUCUGAAACUAAUGAACACAUCGUAGCGAAAAUACUCUUCUUCCUCACCAUGUUUUCCCAUGUUAAAAAAACCAAACUACUCCUAAGGAUGCUCAACUAAUUUUUUCAAUUUAGUGUGUUGUGAUUGAAUAGAGCAGAGUAUCCUAUGCUUGAUCUACACACUUUACUUUAUCAAUGAAGUAAGGUUCCUGGAAGGUG